rnacentral:rRNA from 1 species
GAUGAACGCUAGCGGCAGGCUUAAUACAUGCAAGUCGAGGGCUCAGCAAUGGGACCGGCGCACGGGUGCGUAACACGUAUGCAACCUGCCUGUAUCUGGGGGAUAGCCCGAGGAAACUCGGAUUAAUACCGCAUACCACUGAGUGUCGGCAUCGAUUUUCAGUGAAAGAUUUAUCGGAUACAGAUGGGCAUGCGCAGGAUUAGCUAGUUGGUGUGGUAACGGCACACCAAGGCGACGAUCCUUAGGGGCUCUGAGAGGAGUAACCCCCACACUGGCACUGAGAUACGGGCCAGACUCCUACGGGAGGCAGCAGUGGAAUAUUGGACAAUGGGGGCAACCCUGAUCCAGCCAUUCCGCGUGCAGGAUUAAGGCCCUAUGGGUCGUAAACUGCUUUUGUAUGGGAAAAAUCAUC